rnacentral:rRNA from 1 species
CUUAGUAACGGCGAGUGAAGCGGCAAAAGCUCAAAUUUGAAAUCUGGUACCUUCGGUGCCCGAGUUGUAAUUUGGAGAGGGCAACUUUGGGGCCGUUCCUUGUCUAUGUUCCUUGGAACAGGACGUCAUAGAGGGUGAGAAUCCCGUGUGGCGAGGAGUGCGGUUCUUUGUAAAGUGCCUUCGAAGAGUCGAGUUGUUUGGGAAUGCAGCUCUAAGUGGGUGGUAAAUUCCAUCUAAAGCUAAAUAUUGGCGAGAGACCGAUAGCGAACAAGUACAGUGAUGGAAAGAUGAAAAGAACUUUGAAAAGAGAGUGAAAAAGUACGUGAAAUUGUUGAAAGGGAAGGGCAUUUGAUCAGACAUGGUGUUUUGUGCCCUCUGCUCCUUGUGGGUAGGGGAAUCUCGCAUUUCACUGGGCCAGCAUCAGUUUUGGUGGCAGGAUAAAUCCAUAGGAAUGUAGCUUGCCUCGGUAAGUAUUAUAGCCUGUGGGAAUACUGCCAGCUGGGACUGAGGACUGCGACGUAAGUCAAGGAUGCUGGCAUAAUGGUUAUAUGCCGCCCGUCUUGAAACACGGACCUCCUG